rnacentral:rRNA from 1 species
UACGUAGGGGGCAAGCGUUAUCCGGAUUUACUGGGUGUAAAGGGAGCGUAGACGGCGGUGCAAGCCAGAUGUGAAAGCCCGGGGCUCAACCCCGGGACUGCAUUUGGAACUGUGCUGCUAGGGUGUCGGAGAGGCAGGCGGAAUUCCUAGUGUAGCGGUGAAAUGCGUAGAUAUUAGGAGGAACACCAGUGGCGAAGGCGGCCUGCUGGACGAUGACUGACGUUGAGGCUCGAAAGCGUGGGGAGCAAACAGG